UUUAUGGAGAGUUUGAUCCUGGCUCAGGAUGAACGCUGGCGGCGUGCCUAAUACAUGCAAGUCGAGCGAACGGACGAGAAGCUUGCUUCUCUGAUGUUAGCGGCGGACGGGUGAGUAACACGUGGAUAACCUACCUAUAAGACUGGGAUAACUUCGGGAAACCGUAGCUAAUACCGGAUAAUAUUUUGAACCGCAUGGUUCAAAAGUGAAAGACGGUCUUGCUGUCACUUAUAGAUGGAUCCGCGCUGCAUUAGCUAGUUGGUAAGGUAACGGCUUACCAAGGCAACGAUGCAUAGCCGACCUGAGAGGGUGAUCGGCCACACUGGAACUGAGACACGGUCCAGACUCCUACGGGAGGCAGCAGUAGGG
rnacentral:rRNA from 1 species